rnacentral:rRNA from 1 species
GAGAGGUGGGAGGUUGGAAGUGAGAAACCACCUAAUCAUCACAAGCGGAUACCGCUAAAGUGAUGAAUGUGCUCAGGUAACAUAUCUGAGAGCAGUGUAGGUGAGGAAGAAUGUCCCACAUCCCACUUCCCACAUCUCACCUCUCAAUCAGUGGCGAACGGGUGAGUAACGCGUGGAUAACCUGCCCAAAAGACCGGGAUAACACCGGGAAACCGGUGCUAAUACCGGAUGAGCUCCUUGUUACGCAUGUAAUAAGGAGGAAAGGUGCGCAAGCGCCGCUUUUGGAUGGGUCCGCGUCCCAUUAGCUGGUUGGUGCGGUAACGGCGCACCAAGGCGACGAUGGGUAGCCGGCCUGAGAGGGUGAGCGGCCACACUGGGACUGAGACACGGCCCAGACUCCUACGGGAGGCAGCAGUGGGGAAUCUUCCGCAAUGGGCGAAAGCCUGACGGAGCAAUGCCGCGUGAGCGAAGAAGGCCUUCGGGUCGUAAAGCUCUGUCCA